AUUGACGCUCGCGGGAUGCUUUACACAUGCAAGUCGAACGGCAGCGCGAGAGAGCUUGCUCUCUUGGCGGCGAGUGGCGGACGGGUGAGUAAUAUAUCGGAACGUGCCCAGUAGCGGGGGAUAACUACUCGAAAGAGUGGCUAAUACCGCAUACGCCCUACGGGGGAAAGGGGGGGAUCGCAAGACCUCUCACUAUUGGAGCGGCCGAUAUCGGAUUAGCUAGUUGGUGGGGUAAAGGCUCACCAAGGCAACGAUCCGUAGCUGGUUUGAGAGGACGACCAGCCACACUGGGACUGAGACACGGCCCAGACUCCUACGGGAGGCAGCAGUGGGGAAUUUUGGACAAUGGGGGAAACCCUGAUCCAGCCAUCCCGCGUGUAUGAUGAAGGCCUUCGGGUUGUAAAGUACUUUUGGCAGAGAAGAAAAGGUAUCCCCUAAUACGGGAUACUGCUGACGGUAUCUGCAGAAUAAGCACCGGCUAACUACGUGCCAGCAGCCGCGGUAAUACGUAGGGUGCAAGCGUUAAUCGGAAUUACUGGGCGUAAAGCGUGUGUAGGCGGUUCGGAAAGAAAGAUGUGAAAUCCCAGGGCUCAACCUUGGAACUGCAUUUUUAACUGCCGAGCUAGAGUAUGUCAGAGGGGGGUAGAAUUCCACGUGUAGCAGUGAAAUGCGUAGAUAUGUGGAGGAAUACCGAUGGCGAAGGCAGCCCCCUGGGAUAAUACUGACGCUCAGACACGAAAGCGUGGGGAGCAAACAGGAUUAGAUACCCUGGUAGUCCACGCCCUAAACGAUGUCAACUAGCUGUUGGGGCCGUUAGGCCUUAGUAGCGCAGCUAACGCGUGAAGUUGACCGCCUGGGGAGUACGGUCGCAAGAUUAAAACUCAAGGAAUUGACGGGGACCCGCACAAGCGGUGGAUGAUGUGGAUUAAUUCGAUGCAACGCGAAAACCUUACCUACCCUUGACAUGUCUGGAAAGCCGAGAGAUUUGGUCGUGCUCGCAAGAGAACCGGAACACAGGUGCUGCAUGGCUGUCGUCAGCUCGUGUCGUGAGAUGUUGGGUUAAGUCCCGCAACGAGCGCAACCCUUGUCAUUAGUUGCUACGCAAGAGCACUCUAAUGAGACUGCCGGUGACAAACCGGAGGAAGGUGGGGAUGACGUCAAGUCCUCAUGGCCCUUAUGGGUAGGGCUUCACACGUCAUACAAUGGUCGGGACAGAGGGUCGCCAACCCGCGAGGGGGAGCCAAUCUCAGAAACCCGAUCGUAGUCCGGAUCGCAGUCUGCAACUCGACUGCGUGAAGUCGGAAUCGCUAGUAAUCGCGGAUCAGAAUGUCGCGGUGAAUACGUUCCCGGGUCUUGUACACACCGCCCGUCACACCAUGGGAGUGGGUUUCACCAGAAGUAGGUAGCCUAACCGUAAGGAGGGCGCUUACCACGGUGGGAUUCAUGACUGGGGUGAAGUCGUAACAAGGUAGCCGUAUCGAAUGUGCGC
rnacentral:rRNA from 1 species